rnacentral:lncRNA from 1 species
CUGCCUGGUGUGAGAGACUAAUAUCCGUGAUGCUUUCUCUGGGAAAAGGCGUUCUGGCCCAACAAUCUGGUAAAGGACAGCGAAAUCAGCAUUGAAAUACAUUCUUGAUGUUGAAGAUAUAGCAAAAGUUUGAUCCCAAAGAUCAAAGUCAACUGAAAACGUACCCAGCACCACUUGAUCUACCAGAAGACAAGUUGCCAUAUGCGCCAUAACCACUUUCGCUACCAGCCUGAAACUCACUGAAACAAAUUAGGCUAUGAAAUUAAUAACAGCGACAUUGCAGAUAUGGUCCCUGAUAAACAAAGAUAACCUCACCAAUGGACUCGCAUAGCUGUCACUUGAAUGUAGAGAACCGUAUGAUCCUGAGGCUGAAGGGUAUCCACCACGCCCACGAGAUUGACCAUCUCGGCUUCCUAUCAAACCAUCUGACAUUUCUAAAGGCAUUGGGACAUAU